UAGUUCAGUUGGUAGAGCACUUGCCUAGAAUGCAUGGGGCUUUGGGUUCGAUUCCCAG
rnacentral:tRNA from 1 species